UAAUACGGAGGAUCCGAGCGUUAUCCGGAUUUAUUGGGUUUAAAGGGAGCGUAGGUGGAAAGAUAAGUCAGUUGUGAAAGUUUGCGGCUCAACCGUAAAAUUGCAGUUGAUACUGUCUUUCUUGAGUUCGGUAAAGGUGGGCGGAAUUCGUGGUGUAGCGGUGAAAUGCUUAGAUAUCACGAAGAACUCCGAUUGCGUAGGCAGCUCACUGGACCGUUACUGACACUGAGGCUCGAAAGUGUGGGUAUCAAACAGG
rnacentral:rRNA from 1 species